rnacentral:rRNA from 1 species
UACGUAGGUGGCAAGCGUUGUCCGGAUUUACUGGGCGUAAAGAGCGUGUAGGCGGCCAAGCAGGUCCGUUGUGAAAACUGGAGGCUUAACCUCCAGACGUCGACGGAAACCGCGUGGCUAGAGUCCGGAAGAGGAGAGUGGAAUUCCUGGUGUAGCGGUGAAAUGCGCAGAUAUCAGGAAGAACACCAAUGGCGAAGGCAGCUCUCUGGGACGGUACUGACGCUGAGACGCGAAAGCGUGGGGAGCGAACAGG